GGUGGAAGUAUUUACACCGUGGACAUCAGCAAAUGCAACCAAGACCUCCCGCUACCCUGGAGAGCUGGGUUUAAGACAUUUGCCCGCACAUCACUGCCCAGGGACCAGUCUCAGCUCCAGAGCUGUGGGUUAUUGGUAAAGGAUGUGAUUUCAUUGAGCCUCAGUUUCUGUAUCUGUAAAGCAGGAAUCUAUCACUUAUGGAAUAUCCUGUGCAGGCACAAUCUUAGGUGUGGAGGAUACAAUACAACAAAGACAGGUAAGAAGGAGAAAAAAACAAAAAAAAAGGAAAACGGAACAUGUUAAAAUCAGAAACAGAUUCACCUUCUCUAACUGCUGAAUUGUUCAGACGCAGAGCAAUGGAGUAUUCUCCGCAGCAGAGGAGCGUCUGCCUGUGUCCACACCUCCGGGCAAUACCCGUAAACUUGGGCAUUUGUGCAAAUCCACUCCAACAGUGAACGUUGCCUGCAAUACACAGCAGACCAGACUCAUCCCGGCGGGGUGAUGAAGCACACAUAAACCCCAUUAUCCAGCUAUUUCAGCUACUUGGCUUCUGGAAACUAACAACGACUCCUUCUCUCUUUUUUUCACUGUCAUCUUGGAAAGUCUACACAGGGAUUGCCCCGCCUGCUGAAACUCUAACAGGUGGCACAAGAACGUUCACUCGGAGUCUAUUUAGAGCAUAAGCUGCUAUUUACCUUUGUCCACACUAUUUACUCCAUACCGGCUGAGAAAGAAUUUUGAUGUCAAAGACUGACACCUGAAUUCCAUCAAUUUUCCCAUUUUCUUUCUGGGCCAACCAUGUCCAAUUGGCCUGUGCAAGCAGUCGAGGAGGGGACUGUGAUGGCGGCCCCGCUCUAGCCAGUCUGCUCUCCACGUUUUCAUCCUGAGAAUGCAGCUGGUAGAUCUGUUUCCAGGGCAUCCUGCAGCGGGCGCGUGAGUCACGAAAUCAGUCACACAAAUGACCCACCACAUAUAAAAAAGCCACCAAUACAUCAACAGGCCUUAAAACCGAGCAGCAGUUGCAAUAGCUCCUAGAUCAGUGGCAGUAAGCAGCAGAGGCGGCCCAGCACAGACCCCGGGAGCAGGCCAGGCGGGCGCUGUGCUGCUGAUUUAUGCCUCCACUUCAUUCUCUAUUCAAGACGCAACAACCUAAUCAUGCAGGAGACUCCGGUCCAAGGUGUGUUUGGUGGCUGCACACACACUGGGAUCCCCAACACCCAGGAUGGCUGACCUCAUCAGGACCUGUUCGGGACCCUCAAACAACGCCUCCUAUCACAAAUGCUCAGAUUCCACCAGGCUGGGCUACAAAACAGGUCCCCAUGCUCAGCUAGCAGCUAGCAGCAGGUCUCAGGCUUUCUCAGGGUAGCCUGAGGCCAUGAAGCCACCCCCUUCACUUCUCCCUCUGGAAGCCUGCCUGGGGGCCCCUCUGCUCUGCUUCCAUGGCCCAUGGGGCCUCUCUUCCCACUGGAGUGGGAAGGAGGGACAGGGAGGGUUUCUGGGGAGGUGCACUGAGCGGUCCCGGGGGUGGUAGCUCCAGCUGACCGAGUUUGUUGUAUUUUACCCAAACCUCCCACUGGAGUUGAGGCCCAGUCUCAGCCAUGGCACACUGUGUCUUUGCCUCCUUUGCCUCCUUCAUGCACGUCUCUCCCUUGGGGACCUGGCCCGAGUUCGGACUUAAUAUCCCUCAGUGAAACCACAGCUUCAACCAAGAGGGGGCAAGUUCUGUCAUGCAGUGCGGGGAGUGUCACGUGAGAGCAGGGCUAGGAAGCAGUUUAGGAAGUGGGAGGGGUUGGUCUGAAAAGCUUAUUUUAGGGGACAUUUCUAAAAAAAAUCCUGAAUUUUGUUCCCAUUGACCCAGAUAAACAUGGACUUCAUGCUCCUCAAAUUUCCAAACUUCAAGAUCCAGCAGAAACUGAUGCUAAGGGGUGGGUUGGGGUGGGGAUCGCCUUCCCCUGAGGUCCCCUACCCCUGAUUUCGGCUUUUCUGCUAGGGACAGACCUGUCAGGGUGGUGGGGGCUGGGAUGAAGGAAGCUGGACGGGAGCACAGAAGCCUUCAACCCUUCUCAUCUCUGAUGCUUCCUCAAGGGAUUCAGAACUUUUUUUAAAAUCACAGGGUCUGCUGCAAAUCACAGGCAGGGGAGUAGCACCCCCAGGGCUGGGUAAAGCAGCAGCUGUUUUCUAGCAGAUGCAUUGAUUUAUAGUUCUUUAUGGAAUUGUAUCUUCCUAUUCUGUUAUUUUUCACUUUGAGUAAAAAUUAAUUGUUUUGUUUAACC